ensembl:snoRNA
AGCACUUGCAUGUUUUAACAUAUGGACACCUAUAGACAGGUUCAAAAAAUCCUCUUGCAACCCAGAACUCAUUGUUCAGUAUGAGUCUUGAUACAUGUAAGAAGGGAUUUG